rnacentral:rRNA from 1 species
GCAAUAAAUCGUCCUUUAAUUGGGGAAAGGUAUGAAUGGCUUGACGAGAGAGUGACUGUCUCGGGAGUAACCUUUGAAGUUUUCUUUUAAGUGAAAAGACUUAAAUUUUAAAAUAAGACGAGAAGACCCCGGUGAGCUUGAUUAGGUUAAAUUUUUUAAUGAAAACUAAAGUUUGGUUGGGGCAACAGGAAGGGAAGAAAAAUCCUUCUGACAUAGUUAAAGAUCCCAUUUGAUGGAACCGAGCAAAAGCUACCACGGGGAUAACAGCGUUAUCCCUUUUUAGAGAUCAAAUCAAGAAAGGGGCUUGCGACCUCGAUGUUGGAUUAGAGUUUCCUUUUGGUGCAGAAGCUAAAAUGGAGAGACUGUUCGUCUUUUAAUUCUCUACGUGAUCU